UUGUAUAUUGAAUGCUAUUUGGUAAUUUGUGCAGGACUGAGCAUAUUUGAUAUGCAUAUGAAUUCUUCUUUUCUGACCAAUUCGCUUUUGGACUCUGUGCAGGAGGGAGAUAGAGAAGAUUGCUGCUGCUGAAUCAGAUUUACUUCAAGGUCAGGAACUGAAGUUUUACCUACUGUUAGAUGAUGAAAUUGGAGUAACUUGGAGAAAGCAAGUAAUCAUGAGGACAUAUUUCAAGUUAAAUGAUUUUUCCUCAAGAAAGAUAACAUGAACAUAAUUUCAAGGAGAAGUAGAAGGAGAUUAAUGGUGAGUGAUUUUGAGAGAAGAUGCUGCCAGGGCACCAUAGCGCCUGAGUGUCAGGAGCAGCAGGCACUCUGAGCUGGGAACUAAGGAGCUUCCAGCCCAUCCAAGGCCUGUUCAAUCACCCCCAGGAAUGAUUUCUUAUAGGAAGUUUAUUCCUGCCCUAAGGGUAGUAGGAGUGGAGCCCAAAAUUCUCAAAGAACAUUGACUUUGUCAGUAGCUAAAAUGCCACCAACAGAAAGAAAACCUCUCUAGAAGAAUAAUCUCUUGCCUUUAACAGGGAAAGUUAUGCUGGAAAUUUGGCUUCAAGCAUAGAGUGAACAGGGGGCAGCAGGAAAAAAAUGAAACUGAGCAACAUAACAGAAAACUUUCCUGAUAUCUGUGGAAUAUAACAGAAGUCCCAACUAUCAAGCAAGUGUGGAUAAUUAUUGAUUCACUAUGAUUUAUUUCAGUAUUCCCUGAAAAAAAUAAGAAUUCUCACUGACUUCAAGAGAUAGCAAACUGAGCGCAGGGAAAGAUAAAAUAAAAACCUGGUCAUUUAGUCAAUGGAAUUUGGAGAGUGAAAGUUUCAUUUAUUUUCUUAUAAAAAACACCAGCUAUAACAUACAUGUUAUGCCUACCUUUUUUCCAGCUUGAGACAAAUUAUUAUGGAAUGUGUGAUUCCUGAGGUGUGGGAAAUGGUGCUAUACCAGAAGCAGAAGAGGCAAAAAUUGGAGUUCACAGUUCUGGGAAAGGUUCUGCUUUUUAAGCACUGACCUCAAGAGAAGGUCUGCAGGAUGAAAAGGUUAUUAUCUUGUCCCUACACUGGAUCUCCUGAAGAAAAGGCAUAAAUGUUUUUCUUCUUCAGAGCUGGAAUUCCGUUUCAACAUGUCAACAUGCAUUUUGGUGCCACUGUCAUAUGGAGAAAAAAUUAUAAUGAUUUACUGCACAGAUAAACAUCAGAAGACAUGCUCUGAAGCCUGCCAGUAAACCACACUCCUCUGUAUGUGCGUCCCUCUCUCCUUUAAGCAGGACUAGAAGAGUCAACACCCCCUUGAGAAGAAUGUUUCUUUUUGUCCUUGCCUGGAAGGAUUUCCGUGGUCCCAUCCUUUAGGAAAUCCUCAUUUACCUCUAUCAUACCACUAAGUAUUUGGUAACAUUACACUUGCCUACAAAGCUUGUAGCAACAUCACAUGCUUCAGCUUGUUGCGAACAGCAUCUGCCUUAUGAGGUAAACCAGCUUCUGAACUGCUCUUCCCACAAUGUCUAGACCUAAAGUUCAUUCAGCACUCCAUAAGAAAAGUGAGAAAAAUAACUGUAUAUCCUCUAUUUUAUGCAGGCAGGCAAAAGCAACCAUCUAACAAUGCUGUUUUAAAUAUUCUUCAUUCCUGAACAUCAGCCUACAGCAUCUAAUAGCUUAUGUUAGAUGAUACUGUGGAAUGGAUCCUCAUGAGUGAACCAUUGGGAACAGCAGCUUGUGAAUAAGACAACCCUUUCCAGCACUACACCAAAUUUGGUGAUGUAUUGUGGCAUGUAGAGGCUACUGCUGCUUCUCACUGUGCCUCAUGACAGUAUAUUCUGCCCCAACAAAGAUGUGUGUAGAAUGUGCCAGCAUAUUUGCACUUUGAUACAAAGUAAAGCAAGACAAAACAUGAAUGCCAUGGGGAAGCUGGACAAGAGACACUCUGACUGAGGUCUGAACUUAAUAUUGUGGCUAACUCAGUAUCGUGUGCUUACUGCUUGAUUCAGUCCUACAUUUCUUGGGCCACUAGGCUGACCUCCAAGAAACGUUAAGACAAUUUUUUCCAAAGGCUGAAGUUAGCUUAUUGUUACAGAAAAAUUAGCUGUGGAUUAUGGUCUUGCCAAAUUAGAUUUAGCUUCAGUGAAUAUGAUGUAAAAUCUGUAUAGUAUAGCCACACCAGUGAAUAAAAAGGCUCCUUCAACCUAGUCAUAUAUAAAUAUCUGUAAUAUAAA